GACAGUUUCCUCACUGACUCUCUUUACUCCUCAGGGUCAUGUGUAGGGAUGGGAAUCGAGAACCGGUUCCUGUUGAGAACCGGUUCCUUGUGUUUCAAUUCCAUGGAACCGUUUGGCAGCUCGUUAAACGAUUCUCUUAUAGAUUCCAGACCGCACGGUUUAUGUAACGUUAUUUACGCAGCAAGGUACACACGAAUGAUUCAGUAAGCCCGGCUUGACGUGGCGUAGUUGCUUGGUUACGCAGGUGACGCUCGUGAUACUUUUUACAAGUCUGAAAUGGCACCCCUAAGGUUAAAACGGUCCAAAGUGUGGCUUCAUUUCACAUUACAUAAGGAUGGCAACAGGGCGUUUUGCAACCACUGCAAAUUGUUGAUAACAUCGGUGGGAGGGAAUACUUCAAAUAUGCAUAAACAUCUGCGCACACAACACGGGAUAAACUUUAACGAGUGUCGCGUUUUUGAUGCCCUUCGGAGUGACAGCAGCCAAGCUUCUACGACCACCGUGACCUUGGGGGCUAACACCGAAGGCAACUCUGGUGAUUUAGAACAAGAUGAUGACCGGGACGAGACGGGUAGUCUGGCUGACUCAGAGGCUAGCAGCACUUGCUCCCGUUUACCUCUGGCUUCUAUUUUCGUCGAGGCAGGCAGAAAUAAAAUGUCCCAGGCAAAGGUAGAAGAAUGUCACCGGGCAGUUACCAAAUUUGUUGUUAAGGGUUUGCACCCAUUUUCUACAGUAGACGCCCCUGAAUUUCGAAGGUGGAUCAGGAAAUCCAGUUCUACAAAAGCCUUCCCUCCAUCCCCUGCAGGGAUAGCGCCGCACUGUGGUGGUGGAACAAGCAGGAUACGCUGCCCUUGCUAUCUGGACUGACUGAAAACUACCUCUGUGUGCAAGCUUCCUCCACCCCAUCUGAGAGGGUGUUCUCCACGGCUGGAGACACCAUAAGCCCCGAAAGAUCCCGUAUCCUUCCAGAAAAAGCAGAUAUGCUCAUAUUUCUGCAAAAGAACUGUUAAUUUUCCCUACUACUACUUGAGUGCACACACACUCACACUCACACACACACACACACACACACACACACACACACACACACACACACACACACACACACACACACACACACACACAC